rnacentral:rRNA from 1 species
UACGUAGGGUGCAAGCGUUGUCCGGAAUUAUUGGGCGUAAAGAGCUCGUAGGCGGUUUGUCGCGUCUGCUGUGAAAACUCGAGGCUCAACCUCGGGCUUGCAGUGGGUACGGGCAGACUAGAGUGCGGUAGGGGUGACUGGAAUUCCUGGUGUAGCGGUGGAAUGCGCAGAUAUCAGGAGGAACACCGAUGGCGAAGGCAGGUCACUGGGCCGCAACUGACGCUGAGGAGCGGAAAGCAUGGGGAGCGAACAGG